GGGACACGUGAUAUCCUGUCUGAAUAUGGGGGGACCAUCCUCCAAGGCUAAAUACUACUGACUGACCGAUAGUGAACCAGUACCGUGAGGGAAAGGCGAAAAGAACCCCUGUGAGGGGAGUGAAAUAGAACCUGAAACCGUGUACGUACAAGCAGUAGGAGCAGGCUUUGUCCUGUGACUGCGUACCUUUUGUAUAAUGGGUCAGCGACUUAUAUUCAGUGGCAAGGUUAACCAUCUAGGGGAGCCGUAGGGAAACCGAGUCUUAACUGGGCGUUCAGUCUCUGGAUAUAGACCCGAAACCAGGUGAUCUAGCCAUGGGCAGGUUGAAGGUUGAGUAACAUCAACUGGAGGACCGAACCGACUAAUGUUGAAAAAUUAGCGGAUGACUUGUGGCUAGGGGUGAAAGGCCAAUCAAACCUGGAGAUAGCUGGUUCUCCCCGAAAGCUAUUUAGGUAGCGCCUCGGACGAAUACUACUGGGGGUAGAGCACUGUUAAGGCUAGGGGGUCAUCCCGACUUACCAACCCUUUGCAAACUCCGAAUACCAGUAAGUACUAUCCGGGAGACACACGGCGGGUGCUAACGUCCGUCGUGGAGAGGGAAACAACCCAGACCGCCAGCUAAGGUCCCAAAUUACUACUAAGUGGGAAACGAUGUGGGAAGGCUCAGACAGCCAGGAUGUUGGCUUAGAAGCAGCCAUCAUUUAAAGAAAGCGUAAUAGCUCACUGGUCGAGUCGGCCUGCGCGGAAGAUGUAACGGGGCUAAGUAGUAAACCGAAGCUGCGGCAAUAUACUUUUGUAUAUUGGGUAGGGGAGCGUUCUGUAAGCGGUUGAAGGUGUGUGGUAACGCAUGCUGGACGUAUCAGAAGUGCGAAUGCUGACAUGAGUAACGAUAAAGGGGGUGAAAAACCUCCUCGCCGGAAGACCAAGGGUUCCUGUCCAACGUUAAUCGGGGCAGGGUAAGUCGACCCCUAAGGCGAGGCCGAAAGGCGUAGUCGAUGGGAAACGGGUUAAUAUUCCCGUACUUCUUACAAUUGCGAUGGGGGGACGGAGAAGGCUAGGUGGGCCUGGCGACGGUUGUCCAGGUUCAAGUGCGUAGGCUUAAGAGUUAGGUAAAUCCGGCUCUUUUUAAGGCUGAGACACGACGUCGAGCACCUACGGGUGUGAAGUCAUUGAUGCCAUGCUUCCAGGAAAAGCCUCUAAGCUUCAGAUUGUAAGGAAUCGUACCCCAAACCGACACAGGUGGUCGGGUAGAGAAUACCAAGGCGCUUGAGAGAACUCGGGUGAAGGAACUAGGCAAAAUGGUACCGUAACUUCGGGAGAAGGUAC
rnacentral:rRNA from 1 species